CUCAAGCUGUUGCCCCACAACCAAAAGGAAAAGGCAAAAUCUCAAUGGUAAUAGCUAUCAUUAUUGGUGUUACAAUUGCUGCGUCUGUGGUUCUAGUCAUUCUGCUUUACUGUUUCCAAAGGAGGAAAGCAAGAAAGAAGUCCAAUGCUACAAACGAAAAGAAUUCUGGGAAAUCUGACGGCCUCCUAAGUUAUCAUGGUUAAAAUUCUAGUAGAAUUUGGAGGAAGGUCAAGUGUUGGUUCUGCCAAGAUUGCUUAAGGCAUGAUUGGGAUGACGUUGUUCGUGGGCAGUAAAACAAUGGAAAGGAAAAUCCUUGAAAUCUUAGUAAAUUGGGGGUUAGUGCUGCUGUUUACCACAUUUGGAGUCUGUAGAAAUGCAAUUAUAAUUCAAGGAUUGAUUUAAACAAAAGAUUAGAUUGUGGAGCUUAUCAGAAAGUAAGUCAAGAUUUGAAUAAGGAAGGAUAUUAAUCAGAUGCUCUGCUGUAGAUGGGGAUUCAUAGAUUCUGUUCUUCAGAGAGCCUCUACUUAGCUUAAGGAUGCAGCCUAGGCCUUCCUUCUAGCUUUAUAAAGUUGUUUGUUUUUUGGUUUGCUGGCUAUCUGUUGUUGAAUAUUGGUUGCAUUUUGUCUUGGUUGUGCUUUAAUUUGUUUGUUGGUUUAUUCAUUUUGGUAUUGUAGUUCUGUUAUGGUUCAGCAGGUUUGUAGGUGGUGUUGCUUUGAGUGGCUGGAGCUUAGUUGAGGUUCUUGUUGGUUUGUUGUUAUUGGCAUUGCUUUUUGGGAACCCUGUCUGAUUUGUUGCUGGUUUGGGUCGUUUGUGGUUCUGUGUUGUUGCUGGUUCU